AACAUGUUCAAUUGUUGAAGAAGGACGAGUAGACUUUUUAAAUAGUAUUUACAAUUUCUACAAAAAAAACCUCUCAUUCCAGGAAUACCUGCAGCAAUUGGAGCAGGGCCAGGUAGAGUUUUCAUACCACCACUUAAGCCCAGGAAUGAGGAGCAAGUACCAGCCUCUGCCAUUGUCAUUGCUGAAAUAGGUCUGCCAACUUCUGGAUAUCCCAAUGACGACAUUGAAGAAGUCAAAACAAGCAUGACUUAUGAAUCAGAUUAUUUGGAACUGUGCUCAGCUGGCCCCACACCCCCAAAAUGUGUCAUGACAAUGAAGA